UUGGGAUUUGGAGAGACCCUGGAGAACUCUUGUAAACUGCACGUGAUCAAGGUUAACAUAGUCAGCGACGAGGCAUGUUGCCAGCAGGCACCCUGACACGAUGGGAUGAGAAGGGCCCUUUACCUCCGUGAUCGUCCUCCCCAAAACCCACAAGCUCAGUCUAACCAUGAGAAACACAUCAGAGAAAAAUAAAGGGAGGGACAGUCUACAAAGGACCCGACCAGCACCCCUCAAAACUGUUGAGGUCGUCCAACACCAGGCACAUCUGAGAAACUGUCACAGUCCCAAGGGGCCCAAGGAGAAGUGACGGUGAAACGUAAUGUGGGAUUCUGGAUGGGAUCCGGGAACAGAAAGGGACAUUAGGGAAAGACGAGGGAAGUCCAAGUGUACUGUGGGGUGUAGUUGGUGGUCAUGGACCCACAUUCUUUCCUUGGUUGUGACAAAUGUACCGUAGUGUGCAAGAUGUUAACAAAAAGGGCAACUGGGUGAUGGGGUGUGUGGACACUCUUUGUUCUAUCUUUAUAACUGGACUGUCAUCUGAAGCUGUUCUGAAAUAAAAUAUUAACAACAACCAAAAAAAAAAAAAGCACACAGAAGUCAGAGCAUGUGUCCUUCGCUCAAAAGCCUGCAGCGUAAAACCCUCAGAGUAAAAGCCUUUUCUACAGAAGCUUAGGAGGUCCCCGAGAUCCGACUCUCUGUUGCUUUCCAGCCGUGUGGCCUCUGUUCUGUCUCCCAAGCCUGCCCUGCAACCCCUU
rnacentral:lncRNA from 1 species